GAUGAACGCUGGCGGCGUGCCUAAUACAUGCAAGUCGAGCGAAUGGAUUAAGAGCUUGCUCUUAUGAAGUUAGCGGCGGACGGGUGAGUAACACGUGGGUAACCUGCCCAUAAGACUGGGAUAACUCCGGGAAACCGGGGCUAAUACCGGAUAACAUUUUGAACCGCAUGGUUCGAAAUUGAAAGGCGGCUUCGGCGGUCACGUAUGGAUGGACCCGCGUCGCAUUAGCUAGUUGGUGAGGUAACGGCUCACCAAGGCAACGAUGCGUAGCCGACCUGAGAGGGUGAUCGGCCACACUGGGACUGAGACACGGCCCAGACUCCUACGGGAGGCAGCAGUAGGGAAUCUUCCGCAAUGGACGAAAGUCUGACGGAGCAACGCCGCGUGAGUGAUGAAGGCUUUCGGGUCGUAAAACUCAGUUGUUAGGGAAGAACAAGUGCUAGUUGAAUAAGCUGGCACCUUGACGGUACCUAACCAGAAAGCCACGGCUAACUACGUGCCAGCAGCCGCGGUAA
rnacentral:rRNA from 1 species